rnacentral:rRNA from 1 species
AACGAACGCUGGCGGCCGGCCUAACACAUGCAAGUCGAGCGCUCUCUUCGGAGGGAGCGGCGGACGGGUGAGUAACGCGUGGGAACGUACCCUCUUCUGCGGAAUAAUCAUUGGAAACGAUGACUAAUACCGCAUACGCCCUUCGGGGGAAAGAUUUAUCGGAGGAGGAUCGGCCCGCGUUGGAUUAGGUAGUUGGUGGGGUAAUGGCCUACCAAGCCUACGAUCCAUAGCUGGUUUGAGAGGAUGAUCAGCCACACUGGGACUGAGACACGGCCCAG